UACGUAGGGGGCUAGCGUUGUCCGGAAUCAUUGGGCGUAAAGCGCGCGUAGGCGGCCAGAUAAGUCCGGUGUGAAAGUCACAGGCUCAACCUGUGAAUGCCGCUGGAAACUGUCUGGCUAGAGUCCGGAAGGGGCGAGUGGAAUUCCUGGUGUAGCGGUGAAAUGCGCAGAUAUCAGGAGGAACACCAGUGGCGAAGGCGGUGCUCUGGGCCGGAACUGACGCUGAGGAGCGAAAGCGUGGGGAGCAAACAGG
rnacentral:rRNA from 1 species